UGUGUAGGUGGCUGAUUAAGUCAAAGAUGAAAUCCCGAGGCUCAACUUCGGAAUGGUCUUUGAUACUGAUCAGCUUGAGGCUAGUUGAGGAGAGCGGAAUUCCCGGUGGAGCGGUGAAAUGCGUAGAUAUCGGGAGGAACACCAGAGGCGUAGGCGGUUCUCUAACCUAGUCCUGACACUGAGACACGAAAGCUAGGGGAGCAAACGGGAUUAGAUACCCCGGUAGUCCUAGCUGUAAACGAUGGACACUAGAUGUUCUCACGUUUAUGUGGGAGUGUCGUAGCUAACGCGUUAAGUGUCCCGCCUGGGGAGUACGGUCGCAAGGCUGAA
rnacentral:rRNA from 1 species